rnacentral:rRNA from 1 species
GAUGAACGCUGGCGGCGUGUCUAAUACAUGCAAGUCGAGCGAACGGACGAGAAGCUUGCUUCUCUGAUGUUAGCGGCGGACGGGUGAGUAACACGUGGAUAACCUACCUAUAAGACUGGGAUAACUUCGGGAAACCGUAGCUAAUACCGGAUAAUAUUUUGAACCGCAUGGUUCAAAAGUGAAAGACGGUCUUGCUGUCACUUAUAGAUGGAUCCGCGCUGCAUUAGCUAGUUGGUAAGGUAACGGCUUACCAAGGCAACGAUGCAUAGCCGACCUGAGAGGGUGAUCGGCCACACUGGAACUGAGACACGGUCCAGACUCCUACGGGAGGCAGCAGUAGGGAAUCUUCCGCAAUGGGCGAAAGCCUGACGGAGCAACGCCGCGUGAGUGAUGAAGGUCUUCGGAUCGUAAAACUCUGUUAUUAGGGAAGAACAUAUGUGUAAGUAACUGUGCACAUCUUGACGGUACCUAAUCAGAAAGCCACGGCUAACUACGUG